rnacentral:rRNA from 1 species
CCUACGGGAGGCAGCAGUGGGGGAUAUUGCACAAUGGGGGAAACCCUGAUGCAGCGACGCCGCGUGGGCGAAGAAGUAUUUCGGUAUGUAAAGCCCUAUCAGCAGGGAAGAAGAAAUGACGGUACCUGAGUAAGAAGCACCGGCUAAAUACGUGCCAGCAGCCGCGGUAAUACGUAUGGUGCAAGCGUUAUCCGGAUUUACUGGGUGUAAAGGGAGUGCAGGGGGCUCGGCAAGCCUUGGGUGAAAGGCCUGGGGCCAACCGCGGGAUUGCUGUGGAAACUACCGGGCGGGAGUGCGGGAGAGGUAGGAGGAAUUCCAGGUGUAGCGGUGAAAGGAGUAGAUAUAGGGAAGAACAC